rnacentral:lncRNA from 1 species
CCUGAUUUACCAACAUAACCUGUUUCUGGUCAUGCUGUGAAUCUGCAUUCUUUACUGUGUCCUUGGGAUACUAGGAGGAACCAUAGGAGCAGAUCCUGCUAGGAGGCUAAGCAUGAAGAAGGAAUUCAAAGAAACCUUGUGGAGAACAAAGACACAGCAAGGAGUCUCUGAUCAAGUGCCACAUCUUUAGAGAAGCUUUUCCAAACAACUGGUUAUGAAGUACACAUUAACAAUGAAGCCUCUUUUCAAGUAAAGAAGUUUUAUUUGAUAUGAUUAAAAUAACUAUAACAUAUAUGCAAAAUAUGAAGCCAAAUAAUAAAAUUAAGAAGCAUGAAUCCAUCAUUCUACUCAAAAACUGCAUUCAUCAACCCAUGGAACCACCCCCCUGCCAUGAAAGCUAGCAAGAGGCCAAGACCCACAGAACAACCACCAUCACCCCUCUGUCAGCAGGAAGCAGUUACAAAAGACUAAUCUUUGCCCAUUUUCCCCAAAGAAUUGGGGUCUUGGAAUCUUGAUGGAGGAAAUGUUACAGUAGGUAGCUAGUCAGACAUGAGCAGAGCAGAAGAGGGCUUACACACAC